rnacentral:rRNA from 1 species
CGCUAUCACUCCUACGGGGAGGCAGCAGUAGGGAAUCUUCCACAAUGGGCGCAAGCCUGAUGGAGCAACACCGCGUGAGUGAAGAAGGGUUUCGGCUCGUAAAGCUCUGUUGUUAAAGAAGAACACGUAUGAGAGUAACUGUUCAUACGUUGACGGUAUUUAACCAGAAAGUCACGGCUAACUACGUGCCAGCAGCCGCGGUAAUACGUAGGUGGCAAGCGUUAUCCGGAUUUAUUGGGCGUAAAGAGAGUGCAGGCGGUUUUCUAAGUCUGAUGUGAAAGCCUUCGGCUUAACCGGAGAAGUGCAUCGGAAACUGGAUAACUUGAGUGCAGAAGAGGGUAGUGGAACUCCAUGUGUAGCGGUGGAAUGCGUAGAUAUAUGGAAGAACACCAGUGGCGAAGGCGGCUACCUGGUCUGCAACUGACACUGAGACUCGAAAGCAUGGGUAGCGAACAGGAUUAGAUACCCUGGUAG